rnacentral:lncRNA from 12 species
UUCCCAUGUAAUUUUUCUUACUAGGACUGUUUUCCUCAUCUGCUUCUGCAGAGUGCUCUACUGGCAUCCAGGAGACACAAUGCCAUCUGCCUGCAGUGACAAAGAUGUGAAGGGGCCUUCAUUGCUCCAUCAAUAAACUUCAGGAGCAUCCCAUUCCCUGCGGGACAUCCACAGAAGUUCCAUGUAACUGGUGUCCCAGACAAGUCAUAUUUUCUAGGCUUUUCAAGAUUGCAAGACCCUAACCUUUUUCUACCACAUUUCUGUCUAGUUCUGCAAAGAACAUAAAGGCUCUGAUUUCCAACUUGUUUAUACAUAUUUAACAGAGAAGAAAAUGGAGAAGGUAAAAGUGAAGGAAAAAA